rnacentral:misc_RNA from 1 species
AGAUGAUGAUCCCAAGCCUUCUGGCGUUCUGUUCAUCAAAUUUCAAAAGCGUUUAAGAAACAGGUAAAAAGCGUUUAAGAAACGUUCGAGUGCAUUUAAGUAAAGCGUUUAAGCAGAUAUAAGGUGGUUAAGAAACAGGUAAAAGGUGUUUAAGAAACAUAUCUGUUUCUUAAACAUAUCUUUUUGUUUUCUUUUGUUUGUCCCGAGGAAGGUUUUUACCGAUUUACUCCUGAGGGCUUGUAGCUCAGUUGGUUAGAGCGCGCGCUUGAUAAGCGUGAGGUCGGAGGUUCA